UACGGAGGAUCCGAGCGUUAUCCGGAUUUAUUGGGUUUAAAGGGUGCGUAGGCGGCCUGUUAAGUCAGGGGUGAAAGACGGUAGCUCAACUAUCGCAGUGCCCUUGAUACUGAUGGGCUUGAAUGUACUAGAGGUAGGCGGAAUGUGACAAGUAGCGGUGAAAUGCAUAGAUAUGUCACAGAACACCGAUUGCGAAGGCAGCUUACUAUGGUGUCAUUGACGCUGAGGCACGAAAGCGUGGGGAUCAAACAGG
rnacentral:rRNA from 1 species